UACGUAGGGGGCAAGCGUUGUCCGGAAUUAUUGGGCGUAAAGAGCGCGUAGGCGGUCCGGUAAGUCGGUUGUGAAAGUCGGGGGCUCAACCCUCGGAUGCCGAUCGAUACUGUCGGGCUAGAGUCCGGAAGAGGCGAGUGGAACUCCUGGUGUAGCGGUGGAAUGCGCAGAUAUCAGGAAGAACACCAACGGCGAAGGCAGCUCGCUAGGACGGUACUGACGCUAAGGCGCGAAAGCGUGGAGCAAACAGG
rnacentral:rRNA from 1 species